ACCUGGUUGGCUCAGUCACAAGAGCAUGUGACUCUUGAUCUCAGGGUCAUGCGUUCAAGUCCCACAUUGGGUA
rnacentral:tRNA from 1 species